UCAGGAUCGCCCGUUCUACAUUGUGUGGCGCUGCUGCCUUGUCUCCUAGUUACUUCUGCUCCUCCGCUCAGAUGUAAGAAAAGCCUCUUUAAACUUCUUGAUGCAGCUCCUUAAUGAAGAUCUUGCGAAGGAAACCUAGUCAAAACCUGGGAUGUAUGCACAUAGUGACUGUAAUCUCAGCAUUUUGUGAAGUUCAGAAUCAGAGGGGUGGGAGACUCAGGAAAGGCUUUUUAAGGGAGAAAGGGGAAAGUGAAAGGACGCAGGCUGUGUGAGACUGAAACAUCUCAGUCCCAGCCAGCAAGGCACCUGCGUUCAGGAUGGUGUGUGGGGAGUACAGAGUUCCCACAAAGAAAGAAGUGGUGGGAUGGGAGGGAGGACAGAUAGAUUCUUUACUAGGGAAGGAAAAAGUGGGCUGAAAACUUCCUGGUUGAAUAAGAGGACUGUGACAUGAUGUGCUUGUAUUUUGGAGAGAAGGGUUUUGUGGGGACAGGCCUAGGAGAACCCUCUCUGGAUGGGGAGUCAGCACAACAGGGAACCAC